CGAGCCUCUUCAACAACAUACUAACAACCUUGCUGGAAAUGGAAACGCUGUCUCCACGCAGCCAUGAAAAGAGAAAGGGGCCGUUUCACCAAAGGAGGUGGGGAAUGACAGAGAGGCACACAAAGACUCUGUGAAGCAGCAGUCACUCCCAGGGAGGACUGUCGAAGAGCAAACAGCCUUGGAGUUUGGAGGCAGACAAACUAAAGUGAGGCACAGCAGACAGCUACUCUGUGUGUGUGUGUGUGUGUGUGUGCGUCUCCACUAAAAACCACAUAGAAGAAGAGAAGAGCAACAAACCUGAGGACCAGAGAAAAGAAAGAUUAAGAGGAGCAUGAAAGAGUACCAUUAGAACCCGAGGAAUUACCCCUCCAAACCCUAAUCUCGACCUGACUGCUAAUCUCAGGCAGCACCGGAGGACUCCUCUGGAUGAUGUGCCGCACGUUUCAGCAACAAAACAACACAACGGCAAAUAAGACCCCCAGUGAUCAACAUUUCCUCCCUGAAGGAGUUACCCUGCUGCCUACUCCCCAUCAACUGGUCUGCUUACUUCUGCUGUGUCGUUUUUUGCCAGUCAGGUUGGGCUUGGCUGAGUGUGCAAAAACAACAAAGACUCUCACAGACGAGUCUGGUCCCAAUCCCAUUCAAACAGAUAUCCACCCAACCUGGAUCUGGUCGAGCCAAUCACUGACGUGGAACUGGUUCAGAAUAACCAGUCAUCACAGCAGCAUCCAACAAACUGGGCAGUCUAUUUUCUCAAAAGAUGGAUGCCAGACAAGAGACGCUUGAUCUCCUGAACAAGAUAUGGGUGAAGCUUCAGGGUCUGCCCAACGCAACUGCUGUAGAGCUGGGAGCCUUCUUUGUGCUCUUAACCUUCAUCUUGAUGGUCCUGCUCAUGACAGUGUUGACCUGCGUGACCUGCUGCUGCUAUCGCAACACCAAAAAGAAGGGGACGAACAUUUGAGACAAUGUGCUCCACAAAAGCAAGCCUUAUUCUUAAAUCUGGCACAGGAAAUGGUGUAAAACUUCCCACGAAACACAAAAACAGACAUUCUCUGCAGACUUUGUCUCUCGCAAGCAAUCCUGCAGAGAGGAUAAAAACUCCUACUGAGAGUCAUGGUCAUAUAAUGAAUAGACAGACAUUUGGGAUAUUUCAGUGAGCAAUGAAAACACAUACAGGGUGUGUUCAGUGGCUCUAGAGGAGCCCAGCCCACAAACAACAAAGCACCUGACAAGCAGAGAGAAGGAUGUCAUGACUGGCUGCCAAACACACCUGCUGAAGCUGCCAGGUUUUCAGGAGAAUCUACAUUCUUUAGGGUAUCCCUGCGCUUUACAGGGCAGCAACCGCACCUAUGGCCCGAGGAAAAGGCAGGGCCAACCCAAAGUGUCUAAUAAUGCAGGCAAAUACAUAUACAAAUUUGUCUAAUAAUUUUUUAAAACUUCAGAACAUUAACAGCGAGUUGGACUGUGAGAUGUAAAGAGGACAGCUAAAUUGGUCUGUUAAUGUUUUUCUAAACUCAAUUAUGUGUCAUUCUUAAGGAAUGAGCGCUGGCAGUCAGACUUACAGUAAGAUCCUCCUACAGGGAGAAGCUGUUUUCCAAACUGAAAUUGUUCCUUGACAUGUUUCACAACAAAGAAGAGAGAUGAAGUCUGCCAUCUGCUGUACACAAACUGAAAUGGAUUAUGAAUGUAUUAACAGUGUGUAAUGGCAGUUUCAUGUAUACACCUGCAUUUUAUAUAUGUGCUAAGAGUGGAGACAUUAUGUAAUGAUGUGGUUUUAUUAACCUUGAUUUGUACGCAAUAAACAAGAAUCGACUUGCAUGCA